rnacentral:rRNA from 1 species
CCCUUAGAUGUUCUGGGCCGCACGCGCGCUACACUGAUGCAUUCAACGAGUUUCUUCCUGGUCCGAGAGGAAUGGGUAACCUUUUGAAAGUGCAUCGUGAUAGGGAUAGACUAUUGCAAUUAUUGGUCUUCAACGAGGAAUUCCUGGUAGACGUAGUUCAUCAGACUGCAUCGAUUACGUCCCUGCCCUUUGUACACACCGCCCGUCGCUCCUACCGAUUGAAUGCUCGGGUGAGCCAUUCGGACUUUCAUCAUGCUGGUUUCCAGUUUUGAUGAAGGAAAGUCUUGCGAACCUUAUCAUUUAGAGGAAGGAGAAGUCGUAACA